rnacentral:lncRNA from 1 species
GAAACGGUAAAAGCCGAGUGAUUUCCUGUCACUCGCGAGUUGUAGGAGUUGCAUGUUUACUCUUCUGUUAAAACUAGAACCCAAUGACCGCUGGCGUUAGCCCCGGAGUCCUGCACCACCGCCCUCUUCGCUCAAUCGCCGCCCCGGCAGAGCACUCCAUUGCUUCUCCCCGACCUUCGCGCCGCUCCCCUUCUCUCUCUCCCGCGCCGCUUCCUUUCUCCGUUCCCGCAGCUAUAAAAGAA